AUUGAACGCUGGCGGAAUGCUUAACACAUGCAAGUCGUAGCGGGGGUGUAGCAAUACACCUAGCGGCGGACGGGUGAGGAAUACAUAGGAAUCUGCCUCAGAGCGGGGGACAGCCCGGGGAAACCCGGAUUAAUACCGCAUGAUGUCGCAAGACCAAAGUGGGGACCGCAAGGCCCCAACACUCUGAGAUGAGCCUAGUGUCCGAUUAGCUAGUUGGCGGGGUAANAGCCACCAAGGCGACGAUCGGUAGCUGGUCUGAGAGGACGAUCAGCCACACCGGAACUGAGACACGGGUCCGGACUCCUACGGGAGGCAGCAGUGGGGAAUAUUGGACAAUGGGCGCAAGCCUGAUCCAGCAAUUCCGCGUGGGUGAAGAAGGCC
rnacentral:rRNA from 1 species